rnacentral:rRNA from 2 species
CGACUAAGCGUACACGGUGGAUGCCCUGGCAGUCAGAGGCGAUGAAGGACGUGCUAAUCUGCGAAAAGCGUCGGUAAGGUGAUAUGAACCGUUACAGCCGGCGAUGUCCGAAUGGGGAAACCCAGUGCAAUUCGUUGCACUAUCGUUAACUGAAUACAUAGGUUAACGAGGCGAACCGGGGGAACUGAAACAUCUAAGUACCCCGAGGAAAAGAAAUCAACCGAGAUUCCCCCAGUAGCGGCGAGCGAACGGGGAGCAGCCCAG